GAGUUUGAUUCUGGCUCAGAACGAACGCUGGCGGCGCGUCUUAAGCAUGCAAGUCGAACGGCAAGAGAGGAGCUUGCUUCUCUCCUAGAGUGGCGGACUGGUGAGGAACACGUGGGUAAUCUACCCUUAAGAUGGGGAUAGCUGCUAGAAAUAGCAGAUAAUACCGAAUACACUCGAUAUUUCAUAAGAGAUUUUGAGGAAAGGAAGCUACGGCUUCGCUUAAGGAUGAGCUUGCGUCCCAUUAGCUUGUUGGUGAGGUAACGGCCCACCAAGGCGACGAUGGGUAUCCGGCCUGAGAGGGUGAUCGGACACAUUGGGACUGAGAUACGGCCCAAACUCCUACGGGAGGCAGCAGCUAAGAAUAUUCCGCAAUGGACGGAAGUCUGACGGAGCGACGCCGCGUGGAUGAAGAAGGCUGAAAAGUUGUAAAAUCCUUUUGUUGAUGAAGAAUAAGGGGAAGAGGGAAUGCUUCUCUGAUGA
rnacentral:rRNA from 1 species